rnacentral:ribozyme from 11 species
AAAGAAAGAAAGAAAGACAGAAAAUGAAAGAAAGAAAAAACAAGGAAAAGAAACGCCUGACUGGUUGUUACUCCCUCCAUGGUUUCAUUUCUUCUUUCUG